CCUACGGGGGGCAGCAGUGGGGAAUAUUGCACAAUGGGGGAAACCCUGAUGCAGCGACGCCGCGUGAGUGAAGAAGUAUUACGGUAUGUAAAGCUCUAUCAGCAGGGAAGAAAAUGACGGUACCUGAUUAAGAAGCCCCGGCUAUCUACGUGCCAGCAGUCGCGGUACUACGUAGGGGGCAAGCGUUAUCCGGAUUUACUGGGUGUGAAGGGAGCGUAGACGGCAGUACAAGUCUGGAGUGAAAUGCCGGGGCUUAACCCCGGAACUGCUUUUGAAACUGUGCAGCUAGAGUGCAGGAGAGGUGAGUGGAAUGCCUAGUGUAGCGGUGAAAUGCGUAGAUAUUAGGAGGAACACCAGUGGCGAAGGCGGCUUACUGGACUGUAACUGACGUUGAGGCUCGAAAGCGUGGGGAGCAAACAGGAUUAGAUACCCCAGUAGUC
rnacentral:rRNA from 1 species